rnacentral:rRNA from 1 species
UACGGAGGGUGCAAGCGUUAUCCGGAUUCACUGGGUUUAAGGGGUGCGUAGGAGGACUGGUAAGUCAGUGGUGAAAUCCCCGAGCUUAACUUGGGAACUGCCGUUGAUACUAUCAGUCUUGAAUACCGUGGAGGUGAGCGGAAUAUGUCAUGUAGCGGUGAAAUGCUUAGAUAUGACAUAGAACACCAAUUGCGAAGGCAGCUCGCUACACGAAUAUUGACUCUGAGGCACGAAAGCGUGGGGAUCAAACAGG